AUGCACCAUCUCCUUGUCGGAUGUUAUUUCUCACGCCAAGUUUGGCACGAGAUCCUCGGUUGGGCACGUGUGCCCAUCGGCCUCCCCGCCCCUGACACGCCUUUUCAGCUCUGGUGGCAAUCCUCCCUCGAUCUCGCGCCCACUGCUAUGCGCAAGGGUCUAUCCUCCCUCAUCAUCCUAUCUACUUGGUGGAUUUGGAAGCACCGCAACGCCUGCAUUUUUGAAGGAGCAGCACCAUCGAUCAUCUUCACCUCCGAGACCAUCAAGGACGAGGCGCGCCUAUGGGCCAAGGCGGGCGCCAAUGGAUUACAACACAUCAUCCCCGGCGCUUAG
rnacentral:rRNA from 1 species